CCUACGGGGUGCUGCAGUGGGGAAUAUUGGAUAAUGGGCGAAAGCCUGAUCCAGCCAUGCCGCGUGUGUGAAGAAGGCCUUCGGGUUGUAAAGCACUUUCAGUGGGGAAGAAAGCCUUGGGGCUAAUACCCUCGAGGAAGGACAUCACCCACAGAAGAAGCACCGGCUAACUCCGUGCCAGCAGCCGCGGUAAUACGGAGGGUGCGAGCGUUAAUCGGAAUUACUGGGCGUAAAGCGCGCGUAGGCGGUCUGAUAAGCCGGUUGUGAAAGCCCCGGGCUCAACCUGGGAACGGCAUCCGGAACUGUCAGGCUAGAGUGCAGGAGAGGAAGGUAGAAUUCCCGGUGUAGCGGUGAAAUGCGUAGAGAUCGGGAGGAAUACCAGUGGCGAAGGCGGCCUUCUGGACUGACACUGACGCUGAGGUGCGAAAGCGUGGGUAGCAAACAGGAUUAGAUACCCCGGUAGUC
rnacentral:rRNA from 1 species